rnacentral:rRNA from 1 species
CUGCCAGUGAUUUUUUUCAACGGCCGCGGUAUCCUGACCGUGCAAAGGUAGCAUAAUCAUUUGCCUUUUAAUUGAAGGCUUGUAUGAAUGGAUAAACGAGACUAUAACUGUUUCAAUCUUAUUAUUAAAAAUUAGGCUUCAGGUGAAGACACCUGAAUUACUCUAAAAGACAAGAAGACCCCGUAGAGUUUUAAGUAUAUAAAUUUCUCUCUACUUUAUUUACUUUUGGUUGGGGCGACCCAGGGUUAAAUUUAACACCCUUAAUUUCUUAGAGACGUUUCUCUCUUUAAAGACCCUAUUUUAUUGAUCUUCAGAAUAAACUACCUCGGGGAUAACAGGCUUAUCUUCCUAGAGAGCCCAUAUUGAUAGGAAGGUUUGGCACCUCGAUGUUGGCUUAGAGUACCUUGAAAAUGCAGAAGUUUUCUAUAGUCAGUUUGUUCAACUGUUAAAACUCUACGUGAUCU